AUUGAACGCUGGCGGCAGGCCUAACACAUGCAAGUCGAGCGGAGCGGCGGACGGGUGCGUAAUGCCUAGGAAUCUGCCUGGUAGCGGGGGAUAACGUCCGGAAAUGGGCGCUAAUACCGCAUACUAUCGCAUGAGCCUAGGUCGGAUUAGCUAGUUGGUGUGGUAAAGGCCUACCAUGGCGACGAUCCGUAACUCGUCUGAGAGGAUGAUCAGUCACACUGGAACUGAGACACGGUCCAGACUCCUACGGGAGGCAGCAGUGGGGAAUAUUGGACAAUGGGCGAAAGCCUGAUCCAGCCAUGCCGCGUGUGUGAAGAAGGUCUUCGGAUUGUAAAGUACUUUAAGUUGGGAGGCGUUACCAACAGAAUAAGCACCGGCUAACUCCGUGCCAGCAGCCGCGGUAAUAC
rnacentral:rRNA from 1 species